rnacentral:rRNA from 1 species
UACGUAGGGCGCAAGCGGUGUCCGGAAUUAUUGGGCGGAAAGAGCUCGUAGGCGGUUUGUCGCGUCUGCUGUGAAAACCUAAGGCUCAACCUUGGGCUUGCAGUGGGUACGGGCAGACUAGAGUGCGGUAGGGGUGACUGGAAUUCCUGGUGUAGCGGUGGAAUGCGCAGAUAUCAGGAGGAACACCGAUGGCGAAGGCAGGUCACUGGGCCGCAACUGACGCUGAGGAGCGAAAGCAUGGGGAGCGAACAGG